rnacentral:rRNA from 1 species
UACGUAGGGUGCGAGCGUUAAUCGGAAUUACUGGGCGUAAAGCGUGCGCAGGCGGCGCGUUAAGACAGGUGUGAAAGCCCCGAGCUUAACUUGGGAAUUGCGCUUGUGACUGGCGUGCUGGAGUGUGGUAGAGGGAGGUGGAAUUCCACGUGUAGCAGUGAAAUGCGUAGAGAUGUGGAGGAACACCGAUGGCGAAGGCAGCCUCCUGGGCCAACACUGACGCUCAUGCACGAAAGCGUGGGGAGCAAACAGG